GGAGCUUGCUCCUGGAUUCAGCGGCGGACGGGUGAGUAAUGCCUAGGAAUCUGCCUGGUAGUGGGGGACAACGUUUCGAAAGGAACGCUAAUACCGCAUACGUCCUACGGGAGAAAGCAGGGGACCUUCGGGCCUUGCGCUAUCAGAUGAGCCUAGGUCGGAUUAGCUAGUUGGUGAGGUAAUGGCUCACCAAGGCGACGAUCCGUAACUGGUCUGAGAGGAUGAUCAGUCACACUGGAACUGAGACACGGUCCAGACUCCUACGGGAGGCAGCAGUGGGGAAUAUUGGACAAUGGGCGAAAGCCUGAUCCAGCCAUGCCGCGUGUGUGAAGAAGGUCUUCGGAUUGUAAAGCACUUUAAGUUGGGAGGAAGGGUUGUAGAUUAAUACUCUGCAAUUUUGACGUUACCGACAGAAUAAGCACCGGCUAACUCUGUGCCAGCAGCCGCGGUAAUACAGAGGGUGCAAGCGUUAAUCGG
rnacentral:rRNA from 1 species